UACGCUUUUUGGUCUUUUGGAUAAGACCAAAGCCUAGUAUUUAUUCUCAUCAGCUUAAUAUCCCAUACAGUCCCGAUCUGAGCCAUAGAUAUUAAAUUGAUUUUUAAAAUGAGGCGAAAUUUAAGGGGCUUGCUCCACUUUUGCCGUGUUGCUGACCUGACAUUGCAGUACUUCUAGAAUUCAGCUCAUAUUUA